AAGAUUCUAAUGGCAACAGCACUUUCAAGAAUGGAACUCACAGAUCAAAAUAGAGCUAACCUGGGACAAGAUGGAGCCGUUGAACCGCUAGUCAAAAUGUUCACCUCCGGGAACCUAGAAGCUAAGCAAUCGUCUCUAAACGCGUUGCACAACUUGUCUGCCUUGAAAGCAAACGUUCAACGUCUUAUAAAAUUGGGCAUCGUUGCUACUCUGCUACAGCUUCUUUUCUCCGUGACAUCGGUGCUCAUGACUCUAAGAGAGCCAGCAUCUGCAAUUCUUGCAAAAAUAGCAGCUCAAUCGGAAGUUGGCAUAGUACUAGUGAAACAAGAUGUUGCUCAGCAGAUGAUUUCGCUCCUUCAUCUGACUAGUCCAGUAAUCCAGUGUCACUUGUUAGAAGCACUUAAUGCCAUCGCUGCUUGUCCGAAUGCUUCAAAGGUCAGAAGAAAAAUGAAGGAAACUGGCGCUGUUCGCCUUCUCUUACCAUUCCUAACAGAAAGCCGCAAUACCAAGAUUAGAAAUGGAGCUUUAAAUUUGAUUUACGUAUUGUCUAAUGAUAUGCAAGGCGGGGAGCUAAUGGAGCAGCUAGAACAAAUGCAUCUGAAUACAUUGAUCAACAUCGUAUCAUCAUCAUCCACGACAGAUGAUGAAAAGGCUGCUGCUGUUGGCAUACUAAGCAACUUUCCAGUGAGUGACAAGAAUGUCACAGACAUGUUUAUAAAAGCAAACCUACUGCCCAUUUUGGUUUCCAUAUUGACAUCAAGUACACCUACAACACCACAUUUACUAGCUGAGAACGUCUCUGCAGUACUAAUCCGAUUCACCCUUCCAUCAGACAAGAAACUACAACACUUCUCUGUCGAAAAUGGUGUGAUCAGCGUUUUGGUAAAGCUCCUCACAUGUGGCUCAAUCAUAGCCAAAUGUAGAGCUGCAACAUCACUUACUCAACUAUCUCAAAACUCACUCACUCUACGAAAAUCAAGAAAGUCAAGAUGGUUUUCAUGUGCCCCUCCACAUUCUACAGACACAUUUUGUCAAGUACAUGACGGGCACUGCUCUAUAAAAACCACAUUCUGUUUGGUAAAAGCAGGGGCAAUGCCUCCGCUAGUCCAAAUAUUGCAAGGCAACGAAAGAGCAGCGGACGAAGCUGCUCUAAGUUGCCUUGCAACAUUACAACAAGACGAGAUUUGGGAAAAUGGGAGCAACUUGUUAGUGAAAAUGUCAUGUGUACAACCAAUUAUCAAGAUUCUUGAAGAAGGGAUUAGCUUAAAAGCUCAAGAGAAGUCCCUGUGGAUUUUGGAAAAGAUAUUCAAAGUGGAGGCUUAUAGAGUAGAGUAUGGUGAAUAUGCACAAGUUGUGCUAAUUGAUUUAGCACAAAAUGGGGAUUCAUUGUUGAAACCUACAGUGGCUAAAUUAUUAGCACAACUUGAGCUCUUGCAGCAACAAUCAAGUUACUUUUGAGACAAAGCAAAAACAAAAAAACUUCUUUUUUUCCCCAAUUAUUUGUUGAUUGAUUGAAAUGUUGAAAUUUGUAUAGUAAGUGCUCAUACAGAUAAACUUUUUUAUGGUGCAAAUGUUCUCUCAUUGUACAAAUUACAGGAAAAAAAGGUUAUUAGAGAUGACUGAAACUUGUUGUCUUCAGAAAGUACAUUAUUUUAGCUUUGGCUGCCAUUUUGGUGCCAUUUUUUCUGCAAUUUUGCUGUAGUUUUGAUCCAAUGGCAUGAACAAGAACAACUUGCAAAUUUUAUACACCAAAUAAAUGAAGGAAACCUGUGCAAAAUAUCAACUUUACAAGUAUGACAGCUUCAUAAAUGGAGGAAACCUCGGCAAAAUAUCAAGAAUAAUUAUAGAUAUCAAAACCAGUGAUGCAACUUCACUGAUAUAAAUGUAGAGCAGAAGUUCCCUUAACCGGGAAAUAACAUCAUCCUAAUAGACACUGGUAUGUCACUCUGGGUGUAGUUCCCAAAUGUGCAAAUUCUAAUUUUAAAAGAAGUAAAUUUGUCUAGUCUGAUUUAGCUUCGGAAGUUGGUCAACUUAGAGCUCAAUUAAAGAAAAGUUCAAAAAAUUAUGGAUGGAGGGAGUGCUUUGGGAUUAAGUUAGUUGUUCCACUCAGGAAUUUUUUAUUUGGCCUGUGACUUGUAUGUUGGUGGGCGUUUAAGUGUGAAAUUAGUGGACCUUUAGUUGUAGAGAAUCCCAUAAUGAACAUAAAGGUUUCAUUUAUUCGGCUCCGACUAGAUAGGGAGUGAGGCAUAGGGGAUUGGUUAAUUUAAUGAGAUUGUAUCUGUUUUAAAGGCCAGAGGUAAAGCAAAGUAAAACAAAUCUGUGCUCCUCUCAUGCUGGUGUUGUCUUUCUUCCAUACAAUCAAAUCAAAUUUCUUCGACUUCAAGUUAUUGUCUCUUUCACUCUCCUUGUAGCUUGUCUCUUUUAAGAUUCAAGUCUGAUUGCUUUAAUUUGGUUUAAUAAUUUGAUUGUCCCACUAAGUUUACUCUGAAAUUAAUGCUUUCUUUGGCGUAUGUAGGUUGGAGCAAUCAUCUCAGGCGUUCAGCCAGGUUUAUCCAUGGUUUGGGACCCCCUGGUACGGGAAAGACUGAUAAUGCAAGUCAUUGGUUUUGGAUGGUAUGAUUACUAAAGAAGGGAUUCAUCAUGAAGAUAUGAUCCCGGUUCUGUUUAAUCGAUUGAGUUCAAGUAAAACAGACCAUAGAUUGAUUAUACUCCGAAUACUACAAGCACUGGCCGUAUAAGAUGAUGAACAUACGGUACAUUUAGUAUUUUAUUGAGUCUCAAAUAAUGAGAAUCAAGAAGCUGAAAGUUUUGAGUGGUUAAUUUUCACUUUGGUGUGCAGGAAAAGAUGGCACAAAUGGGGAAUUUAUUGAUACUGGUGAAGUCGUUGGGUCAUGAUUUGGAAGAGCAAAAAGAAGCAGUGGGGCUGUUACUGAGUCUAUCAGAUGUUGCUGCAGUUAGGAGAAGAGUCGGGAGAAUUCAAGGCUGCAUCGUCAUGUUGGUUGCAAUUUUUAAUGGGGAUGAUCAAAUGCCGUCACAUGACGCUGCCAACUUGUUAAAUUCUUUAUCAGGCAAUACCCAAUAUGCUCUUCAUAUGGCUGAGGCUGGCUAUUUCAAGCCUCUUGUACACUACUUGAACCAAGGUAUAUUUAGGACAUUUCCAUAAAUUAUAUGCAGUUCAAUAAGCUAUUUGAUUAAUUGUUUACGUAAAAUAUAUAUUCUAUGUAAAUGAUUGCAGGAUCAGACAUGAGUAAGAUUCUAAUGGCAACAGCACUUUCAAGAAUGGAACUCACAGAUCAAAAUAGAGCUAACCUGGGACAAGAUGGAGCCGUUGAACCGCUAGUCAAAAUGUUCACCUCCGGGAACCUAGAAGCUAAGCAAUCGUCUCUAAACGCGUUGCACAACUUGUCUGCCUCAAAAGCAAACGUUCAACGUCUGAUAAAAUCGGGCAUCGUUGCUACUCUGCU
rnacentral:lncRNA from 1 species